AGAAUCAACGCUGGCGGCGUGCCUCAGACAUGCAAGUCGAACGAUUAAAGCUCCCUUCGGGGAGUGCAUAGAGUGGCGCACGGGUGAGUAACACGUAAGUAAUCUACCCUCGGGUGGGGAAUAACAUCGGGAAACCGAUGCUAAUACCGCAUAAUGCAGCGGCACCGCAAGGUGACAGUUGUUAAAGAUUUAUUGCCUGGGGAGGAGCUUGCGGCAGAUUAGCUUGUUGGUAAGGUAACGGCUUACCAAGGCUACGAUCUGUAUCCGGUCUAAGAGGACGGUCGGACACACUGACACUGAAUAACGGGUCAGACUCCUACGGGAGGCAGCAGUCGGGAAUUUGGGCAAUGGGGGAACCUGACCCAGCAACGCCGCGUGAAGGAUGAAGUAUUUCGGUAUGUAAACUUCGAAAGAAUAAGGAAGAAUUAAUGACGUACUAUUUAUAAGUCCGCUAACUACGUGCCAGCAGCCGC
rnacentral:rRNA from 1 species